AACGAACGCUGGCGGCAGGCUUAACACAUGCAAGUCGAGCGCCCCGCAAGGGGAGCGGCAGACGGGUGAGUAACGCGUGGGAAUCUACCCAUCCCUACGGAAUAACGCAUGGAAACGUGUGCUAAUACCGGAUACGUCCUUCGGGAGAAAGAUUUAUCGGAGAUGGAUGAGCCCGCGUUGGAUUAGCUAGUUGGUGGGGUAAAGGCCUACCAAGGCGACGAUCCAUAGCUGGUCUGAGAGGAUGAUCAGCCACACUGGGACUGAGACACGGCCCAGACUCCUACGGGAGGCAGCAGUGGGGAAUAUUGGACAAUGGGCGCAAGCCUGAUCCAGCCAUGCCGCGUGAGUGAUGAAGGCCCUAGGGUUGUAAAGCUCUUUCACCGGUGAAGAUAAUGACGGUAACCGGAGAAGAAGCCCCGGCUAACUUCGUGCCAGCCGCCGCGGUAACAC
rnacentral:rRNA from 1 species